rnacentral:tRNA from 3 species
CGACGAGUUCCGGGUUCGAGCCCCGGGCAACCCA